rnacentral:rRNA from 1 species
AUUGAACGCUAGCGGGAUGCUUUACACAUGCAAGUCGAACGAGUGGCGUACGGGUGAGUAAUAUAUCGGAACUUGCCCAAUAGCGGGGGAUAACUACUCGAAAGAGUAGCUAAUACCGCAUACUCUUGGAUCUUCCGAUCUCGGAUUAGCUAGUGCGUGGGGUAAAGGCUCACCAAGGCAACGAUCCGUAGCUGUUUUGAGAGGACGACCAGCUGCAAUGGGACUUAGAAACGGCCCAUACUCCUACGGGCGGCAGCAGUGGGGAAUUUUGGACAAUGGGGGAAGCCCUGAUCCAGCCAUCCCGCGUGUAUGAGAAGGCCUUCGGGUUGUAAAGUACUUUUGGCGGAGAAGCGGUAUCUGCAGAAUCAGCACCGGCUAACUACGUGCCAGCAGCCGCGGUAAUUC